UGCAGUCGAGCGGAACGAUGAAGAGCUUGCUCUUUAGGCGUCGAGCGGCGGACGGGUGAGUAAUGCUUGGGAAUAUGCCUUAUGGUGGGGGACAACAGUUGGAAACGACUGCUAAUACCGCAUAACGUCUACGGACCAAAGGGGGGGAUCUUCGGACCUCUCGCCAUUUGAUUAGCCCAAGUGAGAUUAGCUAGUAGGUGAGGUAAGAGCUCACCUAGGCGACGAUCUCUAGCUGGUUUGAGAGGAUGAUCAGCCACACUGGGACUGAGACACGGCCCAGACUCCUACGGGAGGCAGCAGUGGGGAAUAUUGCACAAUGGGGGAAACCCUGAUGCAGCCAUGCCGCGUGUGUGAAGAAGGCCUUCGGGUUGUAAAGCACUUUCAGUUGUGAGGAAAGGGGUGUCGUUAAUAGCGGCAUUCUGUGACGUUAACAACAGAAGAAGCACCGGCUAACUUCGUGCCAGCAGCCGCGGUAAUACGAGGGGUGCAAGCGUUAAUCGGAAUUACUGGGCGUAAAGCGUACGUAGGCGGUCUAUUAAGCAAGAUGUGAAA
rnacentral:rRNA from 1 species